CAGCCCUCGCACACUCUAUCUUCUUCCUCCUCCCCCGAUUCCACCCAACGAGCUGCCGGCAACCUCCUCUCCUCCAGCCACCGCCGGCGCCCUCCACCCUCUCCUUCUCUCCUAGUCUCCGCGUCCAACCUCGACAGCUUCCCCUCCUCGCGCCCGAAACCCUAGCCCGCGUCCACGGCAACCAAUCUCUGGAUCCGCAUCGCAGGAUGCCGCCGGAUCCGGGAACAGGGCAUCACACCCUGCAGCUGCCGUUCGGGUCGAGCGCGGCGGCGGCGAACGCCGGUGCUCCUCUGCUUCCUCGACCUCCAAGGACGCAGGCCCCGGAUUCGUGCUCGCCUUCUUCCUCCACCAACCUUGGUGCCCAACUCCCUACAGCCGCCGUCGCCGUCGCCGUCGUGGACUCCCAAGGCAAGGAGCAUGAGGACCGAGCUCGAGCGCGACCACGACGCAGCGCACAAGGUCCCUGUUUCCUGCACAAGUAUACACAUCACCUUGCUUGGUUGGGGAGCAGCAACAUCAAGGCUGUUGUACAAACAGCAAUAUCAAGACGUUGAACAAAUAGCAACAUCAGUUGCUGAUAGCGUACUGAGGUGUUUCAGCACCAACGCUUGGAUGACCAACGAGGAACAAGCUAUGGCGGUGGCUGCCGAUUUGCCGCCUCAACAAGGUCUCGUUCCUCCCUGGUUUGCACAAGCUUCGUCAGGCAACUGCAGAUCCCGUACGACCAUGGCCCACACCCCUGAAGCUUCCCCUGUCCGCAACAACUUCUGGAUCAAAGGAUUGUUGCUUAAUCCCGGGCUGCUCUACCUUCAAGGAAAAGGGGUCCUCCUUGAGAUCAUACAGAUGGUGCAAGGACAAUGUUAAUAUGGUCAUUGUGGUGGGUGAGGGUGCCGGCCAAGAUCUCAUCGCCUAAAGCAUCAAUUUUGUGGACCUCACCAUCCCUUCCUUGGUUUGAAGGAGGAAUGGAUCCAGGACUGUCCGCUGCGGAUUCGCCGCCUCACCUAUGUCGGUCUUGUGCGUGCUUGGGGUUCUUCGCCGAGCACCAACACCGCCAUGGAGCCGGCGAGCUCACACACCUGCACCUUCAGAAGCACCACGUUAGGUACUGCAACAUCAAGUGCUACGGCGAGGUUGCUGGGCGCUAGCCGUGGCGUCCGACGCGUGUAAUGGUUGAAGGUUUUUUGGUUUAGUGCUCGUGCAACGCCGGCGCUAGUGGCGCUGUACGGCUUCGGCUACAGUCGUUCUGGAUUGUUGCUUAAUCCCAGGGAUGCUCUACCUUGAAGGAAAAGGGGUCCUCCUUGAGAUCAUAUAGAUGGCGCAAGGACAAUGGUCAUAUGGUCGUUGUGGUGGCUGAGGAUGCUGGCCAAGAUCUCAUCGCCCAAAGCAUGAAGUUUGUGGACCUCACCAUCCCUUCCUCUGUUUGGGCGAGUCCUUGGUCUUCUCUCUCUCUCUCUCUCUCUCUCUCUGAGAUGGUCCGGCCAUUGAGCUGUGGGUGAUUGUGGUGCUGGCAAUCAAGCCGCUGAUUUAGUGUUUGGAUUUGUGGUGGCCUUCUUUUGUGAUUGUGAUUGUGGUCGUCUUUCUUGUUGAUCAAAUUGGUCUCUUGUAAUUCUACGAUGGGCCCUUUUAACUCUGCAUGCUACAGGGUUUGGUUAUGGUCCAUGUUUAUUCUUGAUAGGAUCCUUAGGCUGGGAUUUUGACUUGUUAAUGGCUAUCAAAUAAAACAAAAUGCUUACCUAUUGGUGUAGUGCUGUUGUGUAUUGAUAGAAUUAGUUGAUUCUUGGUCUUGUUUGAUAGGAUAGAAUAAGAAGAGAUAUUCUCUACUUGGUCUUGUACAAGUCUUAGUGAUGUGCUUUCUGUUGCCGUGGCAUACUUGCGAAUAUGAUCCCGGCCUAUUCCCAUGUGUUGUGUUGUGCACAAUGAAGAUGAUAAUAUGAUCGUCUGACUGAUUCCAACUUGCGAAAGAGCAUAUUUAACAGAGCAUUACC
rnacentral:rRNA from 1 species